GGAAUAUUGGUCAAUGGAGGGAACUCUGAACCAGCCAUGCCGCGUGCAGGAUGACUGCCCUAUGGGUUGUAAACUGCUUUUGUCAGGGAAUAAACCUUUCCACGUGUGGGAAGCUGAAUGUACCUGAAGAAUAAGGAUCGGCUAACUCCGUGCCAGCAGCCGCGGUAAUACGGAGGAUCCAAGCGUUAUCCGGAUUUAUUGGGUUUAAAGGGUGCGUAGGCGGUCCUAUAAGUCAGUGGUGAAAGACGGCAGCUUAACUGUCGCAGUGCCUUUGAUACUGUAGGACUUGAAUCUAUUUGAAGUGGGCGGAAUAAGACAAGUAGCGGUGAAAUGCAUAGAUAUGUCUUAGAACUCCGAUUGCGAAGGCAGCUCACUAAGUUAGUAUUGACGCUGAUGCACGAAAGCGUGGGGAUCAAACAGGAUUAGAUACCCUUG
rnacentral:rRNA from 1 species